rnacentral:rRNA from 1 species
AACGAACGCUGGCGGCAGGCUUAACACAUGCAAGUCGAACGCCCCGCAAGGGGAGUGGCAGACGGGUGAGUAACGCGUGGGAACAUACCCUUUCCUGCGGAAUAGCUCUGGGAAACUGGAAUUAAUACCGCAUACGCCCUACGGGGGAAAGAUUUAUCGGGGAAGGAUUGGCCCGCGUUGGAUUGGCUAGUUGGUGGGGUAAAGGCCUACCAAGGCGACGAUCCAUAGCUGGUCUGAGAGGAUGAUCAGCCACAUUGGGACUGGGACACGGCCCAAACUCCUACGAGAGGCAGCAGUGCGGAAUAUUGGACAAUGGGCGCAAGCCUGGUCCAGCCAUGCCGCAUGAGUGAUGAAGGCCUUAGGGUUGUAAAGCUCUUUCACCGAUGAAGAUAAUGACGGUAGUCGGAGGAGAAGCCCCGGCUAACUUCGUGCCAGCCGCCGCCGUAACAC